rnacentral:rRNA from 1 species
AUUGAACGCUGGCGGCAGGCCUAACACAUGCAAGUCGAACGGUAACAGGAAACAGCUUGCUGUUUCGCUGACGAGUGGCGGACGGGUGAGUAAUGUCUGGGAAACUGCCUGAUGGAGGGGGAUAACUACUGGAAACAGUAGCUAAUACCGCAUAACGUCGCAAGACCAAAGAGGGGGACCUUCGGGCCUCUUGCCAUCGGAUGUGCCCAGAUGGGAUUAGCUAGUAGGUGGGGUAACGGCUCACCUAGGCGACGAUCCCUAGCUGGUCUGAGAGGAUGACCGGCCACAAGGGAAAGGAGACACGGAGUGGACACCUAGGGAAGGGACAGGUGGGGAAUAGGGGAGAAGGGGGGAAGUCCGGAUAAAGCCAGGCGGAGGAGGAGAAGAAGGAACUCGGAUUGGAAAGACCCGGUGGGGGGAAAGAAAAGAAGCAGGCUAAUACCCCGAUGCCAGGACGGUACCAAAAGAAGAAGCACCGGCUAACGUCGUG